GGUGGUGGCAAGACCCAAGAGGUUAUGAGAGUUAAGUGUGUUAGGACGGGAGUAGUCCUAGGAUGGGUGACCCCCUGGGAAGUCGGUGCGUCACAAAUA
rfam:Ananas comosus cultivar MD2 ACMD2_Scaffold_2845, whole genome shotgun sequence.